rnacentral:misc_RNA from 1 species
GAUGAAGAACGCAGCGAAAUGCGAUACGUAAUGUGAAUUGCAGAAUUCAGUGAAUCAUCGAGUCUUUGAACGCACAUUGCGCCCUCUGGUAUUCCGGGGGGCAUGCCUGUCCGAGCGUCAUUGCUGCCCUCAAGCACGGCUUGUGUGUUGGGCCUCCGUCCUCCUCCCGGGGGACGGGCCCGAAAGGCAGCGGCGGCACCGCGUCCGGUCCUCGAGCGUAUGGGGCUUCGUCACCCGCUCUUGUAGGCCCGGCCGGCGCUUGCCGACACAUCAAUCUUUUUUCCAGGUUGACCUCGGAUCAGGUAGGGAUACCCGCUGAACUUAAGCAUAUCAAUAAGCGAGGA